UUGUAUCGGUGGAGUACUCUCUUUUGCAACCCUUGAAUGUGUUUGUUGAUUGACAUCUAUGCAUAUCGAUCAUCCUCGUGUUGAUGAUCGAUUCGUUUAGAUGACCAUCAACAAAUACUUUCAUGGUUUUGCAUCGCCUCUUGGAAUCUAUCUUACGUUUUUAGCAUCUCUUGUAACUACUUUCUGUAGGAUGUUGGCCGCUCAAAGUACUUGCAUCACGUGGAUAAUCUCAAGCAGCUGAAGAAGAAUCAAAAAGCUUCCUAAAGAUGAUGAUGAUCUAAUAUCUUAGUUUGUAACCUCCCUGACAUGUUUUUCUUCUUUUUGCAGUGGUCACAGACUUCUGUUGGGCAGGUUGGGACUUUGGAUUGAAUCUUCAAAUCAAUUGUUACAAUUACAACAAAAGGUUGGACCCGACACACACUCGGGACCAUUUGGACUACGGCCUUUCUGAUGCAACUUUGAGGAAAGAGGAGCCUCUAUUUCGGAUGUUUCUAUUGUCUUUGUCUUACAUGGAUACGUGUGUGUAAAGCAACAUUUAUCACUCAAAUUAAUGAUUGAAUAUAUAUUUUGAAAA